rnacentral:misc_RNA from 1 species
AUCACCCACAGUUGUGGCUGCGUCUAUGGUGGUGUGCGUAUGUGUGUGCUCCUUGGAUGUUGCUUGCAUAUUUUCUUCUCGGCCUUCGUUGCCCUCCUUCCCUUCUCGCACCUCGAUUACCUCUCAAAGUGCGUACACACGCGAGGCCAUCGAGAAAGAGAGCGAAGAGUGCGACGCGGCACUUUUUUUCCUUCUAGUUUCGCUUGAAACCGCCGCUCUCUCACCCUUCCUCGCCCUGCUCACUCACUACUGCGACUCCGCAAGCGCAGACAACCACCAGUAUCAUCAACAGAGGUGAGCAUCAUCGUUUUUUCACUGUUGGGGCACUUACAGGCCUCCCUCUUUCUCUCUCGAUUCGCCUCCUCUGCAGUCGCGCGCGUCUGCGUUGUGUGUAAGGGGGGGGGUUCUUAACUUCCUUCUUUCCAUCUAUCUCUUCUCUGCUGUCCUGAGCACCCCUCUACGUGUUGGUGCCGUGCGGAACGCGUUGCGUGAGAGCCUUGCUGCCUGAGUGAGCGAUCGCGGGCUUCCUUCCGCUCUGUUUUACUCUACCUCCGCGGGUGUCCCCCCCCCGCCCCCUUGCUCAAUCUAUACCCCCUCCUCUAUUUUGUCAUCCUUACGUGCGCUGGCCCUGGUGCGCAUGACGCACUCGUUCAAGAGGCAGCAACAUCGAAGCACGUCACUGAUCUCAACAGCUCUUCUGUGGUUGGUCUUAUUAUUAUUGUGUGUGUGUGUCUUCGUAUCUUUCAGAUUUGAUCGUUGGGCCCCUCCACUGCUGCACAAGCACACGUACACGUCACUCUCUCUCUCCUUCUCCCGGCGGCAUGACUGUUUCCCUGCAUACCUUGAUCAAAGAAUGGGAGGUGGUGAACGCGGAGCUGUAUAGGGCCUCCCUGGAGUCGCACCAGCGUUAUUCGUUCCCGGAGAACAACCACGGCCGUUCAGAUAAUAGUGAUUGCUCUGCGGAGGGAGGCUCUCCCUCCCCUCCUCCACUGUCCAGCACCACCACGUACGCGCGCGUGUACAGCCUCCUCUCACGCGUGCGCCACAUCGCUGAGGACGCCCGAUAUAACUCCUUCCGCAUUAUACAGCAUCUCCUGUGGGUGACCAUCGUCGCGUGGGCAAAUCAGAUGGCAAACGCGUCCGGUGAUCUUAUUCGGCUUCCGAGUGGACUGCAACAGUACUACGAGCCGUCCCCAAGGUGCUCGACACGGCGCGACGGCAUAAACGACGGCGCAGCUGGCAAGACAGUGCCUUCGGCGUCCACCCCGGUGCAGCGGACAUCAUUCCCAUGUGCCUUGCUCCCACCGUUAGAGUUUUGGGAUCCCAGCGUGCUGGAGGAAAUGGCAGGCGCAUCAUCCCCCGAACCACAAGUCGUGCGCGACGCCUCUCUCCACCGCGCGCCGAGCUUGGCCGAAGUGUGGAGCAAUGCCGUGCAACACAUAUUUGCGCUGUGGUGCGCCACGCCAAUCGCUGGCUCUUGUGCAGGAGCUGCGCAGCCAUGCACCGCCCAAAGCGCUUGCGGGACUGCGUCACCAGGGACGCUAGAAUACGCGCAUGCCUGGGUCAUUGUGGCGCAGCACUAUCACCGCUUUAAAUCGCUGCUUUCUCUCUUCUUUCUCCGCUACGACGUGGUGCUCGAGGACGCAGAGGAGCUGCUGCAGCGGCGAGGCCGCCAACAGCUUCACGAGCAGCAGGAUCGCCGCCUCAGUGGCCUUCACGAUGAGGAAGUGCAGCGCGCUGGAGCACAUGUGGCCCGGCCGUCGUCGCCUCCGCUGCGUCGCCGCGGCGGGACUUCGCUCGUGUCAUCUUUAAGCAUCAGCCCUGAAGGUGCGGCAAGUGCCGCAGGUGCAGGCAACAGCAUGAGUCGCUCCAGUGCCCCUGCAGCCCUGUCUACAGAUCGAGAAGCUACCAGAAACACCGACAAGCAAGCUCGUCUGUCGGCGUGUCUUCCCUCCUCCCUCCCCAGCACCUCCAACCUUCUCGGGCAUCUCAUGCGAGCCAUUGUGAACGAGAACCUAGCGAAGAUCCACGAAGUGACUGGUGAGAUCCUUCUCUUUCUCUUGCUACCCCGCGUCCACCGCGCUCGGCUGCGAAACCAGGUCACGACACCUGCUAGCGGCACAGGCAAUCCCGGGCAACUGUCGCAUUGUGCGCCGCCGCAGGACAACACAGCGACGGGCGAGGCAGAUACGGGAAAGGAGGCGUCGUUGGCAUUAGCAACGAUGCGGCAGCUCUCUGGCGUGUCUAAUGGGCACAGCGAUGUGCAAGACGACGACGAUGACGAUCGCGUCGUCUGGUCAUCGCCGCCCUCGCCACUGCUCUCAUACACAGCUGCGUCUUUCGGUCACGGCAACGGCGACGCGCCUGCGCCAGCUCCCAGGGCAGGCACACUUACUACGGGCCCCCACGUGAGAGGACGGGCGCAACAAGAGGAGUACGUUGCGCGCAACGUCUUCAAGCUUCUUCUUCUGGUUGAGCACUGCCGGGUGCACGUACUCCAGCGUUGGCUCGUCGAGAAUGGAAAGCGUGUUGCCUUCUUCUAUGGUUCACAGCUUGCUGCAAACCUUUUGGACAAUGCAGCGGGACAGCAAGCUGCCUUUGCCCACGAUCCCGCGUCCUGUGACCCCUCCGUUGCGGCCAUCGCCACAACUCGCACCCUCGCGGGUGCGAAUCGAGUACUUCGCGAGACGCUGCAAGCGUACGUCCGGCUUCGUGCCAAGCUGCUCUUCCUGAACGCUGGUACGACGCACUUUCUAGACGCCCUGACCCCGUGGGGGCGGACGCGCAUGCUGGAGAGCCUGAACGCUUUCCUCUGCGGCUUCUGCGGUGUGGUACUGCCCUCCUCGUUUCCUUCGGAUGGCGGCGCGCCUGACAAGAGCACCAUUGAAUCCUCCAAGGAGCCGCCGAGCCAGGCAGCGUCGUCGCCGCUCGACGGCCGCGACGAGCCGGUUCUCUUCUCCUCGACGAGCGCCGCCGUCUCCGACUUUGUGCAGAGGUGGGGGGUGCCACUCUGGGUCGCCAUGUGCGACGAUACACAGCAGCGUAUGGAGGCGCUGAAGCAUGUCGAGCAAAAGCGCGCUAAGCGGCCAAAGCACUGCACGCCACUACCCGAGAACGAGCGUUUGUGCGUCAUGCCACCCGCCAAAUAUCAGCAGCAGCGGCGCGCGAUGGAGGGGUGGUCAGACGGGGACAUGGGCGAGAAGGACCACUGGCGCGGCGGUCCGUGCAAUACGGGCACGUCAUCGGCGCCCGUCACGUCUUCCUUCACCACCGCAGCCGUCAGCGCCGUCGAUGAUGAUCGUGCCGAGAAACCCGACACGCGCGACCGUCACUCUGUCGCCUCUACCGAGCUGGAGGAUGCUGUGUCGCGCACGACUAGUAUCGCUUGGCCGCCGAGGUCUCCGACCGUCGCGAACGAAGGCGAGGACGGCAGCGGCGGCAGUGGCAUCCACCGCCAUGGCGGUGCCGAGGAAGCGGAUCGAGCUUUCACUCGCCGCCGCGGCAGAGGACUGGAUCUGAAGCGCGUUCUGCAUCAGCAGCAGCAACGUCGCGCGCGCCUUGGUAGCGUGAAGCUCCCGCAGCGAGGAGUAACGGCAAGUAGAGUUGGUGCCCCACUCGCGAGCAGCGAGGAUGGCGGCGGUGACGUUGUCGAGAGCCUCUACACAGGGGAAACCGUAUCAGCGGGCGACGAUGGCUCUGUGUCCGCAGCCGCCGUGGGUGCAGGAAACGGUGGCGGCAACGUGGGUCGUCUGCGCGACAACAACGGUGCGGCCGCGACGGAGGAAAGACAACGUGAUGGUGAAGAUCUCACGAUAUCUGCCGGCUCUCACGCGAAGCGCUUUUCUCGCUCCGCACAGCUACACCAGGUAGCCACCUUGCCCGAUGAAGGCUUCCCGUGUCUCCUCUACCUAAUGCCGCGCCGUAGCCGCUUCGCCAUGCUGGACAAGGCAGCGGCGGCUGUGCAGCAGCAACUCUUCACGCGCUUUAGCGCCAAUGUGCAAGCCUACCUCACCGACUACCUGAUGGAGUGCGAAACGGCAGCGGCAGCCGCCGCCGCCGAUCAGCACGCAGCCUCAGCCUCGCAGAAAAAGAAGCGAGAGAAAGCAGCUCAAGUGACGGCCAUGGGAAGGCAUGCGGGUACCGGCACUGCGGCUACCUCCUCCAUCGCCGUCGUCACACCAUUUCCCAAACCUGUGCUUGCCCGCAUGGUCUUCCUCUUGGAGAUGACCUACGCUGCGUUGCAGGGGCGCGACCGCGCUGCGAGCGAGAGCCGCGACAACCACACCGAAGCUAAUCACGCUACCGUUAAUGGUGGCAGUCGGCGCCCGCUGAUGGAGACAGGCCUUACCGCCACUGGGCAGGAGCUCGGCGCCGCCAUUCUCGAGCAGUGCAACGGCGAGUUUGACACUGUCGUCUCCACAACGCUUUCCGCGCCAACGUCGCCAGCCCUGCUGGCCAUUGCUGCCGUCCGCAAAGGCUUCCAAGGCUUCCUCAUCUCCAUGGAAAAGCGCGCCGUGCUGGCACUGGUGCAGGCACUGUAUGGCCUCGUACAGCAGGGCGCGGCCCAGCAGCCGCCCGCGGCCCAGCUGGACGCUGUGGACACCAUCCUGAAUAUGGCCUCGCUGCUGAACUCCAAGGACAUGUUUGUGCUGCUGCUGAAGGGCUAUCUCGCACCGCAAGUGAUGAUGUGCCGAUCGCAGUCCGAGUUUUUGGUGGAGUCACAGGUGGUGGGCCGUAUGGCCUACCGCCUUGGCGCGGCAGUGGCGGCGCCGUGCAUUACGCUGCUGAGGGACCUGCAGCUGGCCAUGUUCGAUCCCCGGAGCAUGAUGAGAUCGCCGUCUCGCUCUGGGGCACGCGCAGACCUUGCGGAGGAUCGGGAGCUGAAUGCUACAUACGGGAGUCUAAGCGGAGAAGGCAGAAGAGGCUACGGCGGCAAUUUUGGAGGCGCAAGUAGCAGAGACAUGGCCACGGAAUGUGCGCAGCUCGCGGCAACGCGAGACGCAGAGACGCUGGGAGACAUCCGUCCCCUGCAACACGGCGCCUUCGGCCUCAUCCACCGCGUUCGCGUUCUUUGUCAGGCCUGGUGGCAGUCGCACACAGCCGUGUUGCUGUCUUCCCGGCGACUACGCCAACUGUGGGAGCAGCACCAGCUGCUAGACGAGCGCAUCGUCGACGCGGUGUUGAGCGUCGAAUGGCAGUACGACGGGCACUCUGAACCAUUUCGCGGCUACGGGCAACACGUCAGGCCAAGGGAACGCGAGAGCAGCAAUCCGUUGCCUCCUCCGUCAUGCAGUAGUGGUGGCGGUGGCCCAAAGAGCCUUCGGAGCAGUCUCAGUGACGCUCCGCAGGGCAGUCAUUGGCGGCACGGCGACGGAGGCCAGAACUCUGGACCCCUCGCUGCAGGGACGCAGCUGCGUACCGUGACGGCAGCCGCGGUCGUGCGCGGCUUCUCCUCGGCGUUGGGCAAUGCAGUGCGUCGCACAGGCCGCCAGGCCGGUGACUUUGGUUACGAUGACUCUGACAACGAAUCCGAGGACUACAGGGAGGCGUAUGGGGGACUGCUAACGCUGAGCACGCUGCAGCAGUACCGCAGCGCGUACGCGCCGUCAAACUCGCCGUACAGAGGCAGCAACCUCUCGUCUGUUGGAAGCCCCGGUGCAGUGGGCGGUCCAGGUGCAAGCGGGGAGCACCAGGGGACUUCCGAUGGUGGUCAAAGCACGACUGUCGACGACCACGCCUCAACUGCCGUGCCGGCGGACGGGCAGCUGGAGCGGAGGCGGCUACGUUGGCCACUGGGCAACGGCCAGCUGGCCUUCUACAUCUUCUCCAGGGGCGCUGCCAGCGCUUGCCGCGGCGUCUCCCAGGCCGUGCAGAUCGUCGGACCCCCACUUACAUUGCUGGUGUGUCAGCUACUGGACCGCGCAAGUGAGCAACCGUACACCUUCGACGCGCUGCACAAGGCGCUUCCGGUACAGGCACCAAAGCCGCUGCUCGCCCAUAUUCUGCACGAACUUGUCAAGGCCGACGUCGUCGUGCGCAGCGUGGCUGCCGGUACCCGGCAGCUGACGUAUCAGCUUCGCGAUGAUACCCGCGAGGUUCGUCAGCGCAAGGUCAUCGUUGACGUACGCGCCGCUGCGCGGCAGCAGUGGGUAACGCAGACAAUGACUAUGACGGCCGCAGACGCCGCAGACGACGGCGAAGACGACGGCUCUGAGAGGGGCGGUGCACGCGGCCCUGCUUCCCCGGGGAACCCGACGGAAGCAGCCACUUCUUUUCCCACGUCAUCACUGAAACCGGCGCGGCAGGGGUGCCUCGACGCACCUGCCAAGGCGAAAGCUGCACCGAGCGCUUCAGUCGAUGAGCCGUCGUCACCGACAUACUCGGCCGACAGUGCACACAAGAUCAAGGUGUGCAUUGUGCGGAUCAUGAAGGUCGAGCGCGUUCUCCCGCAUCGUGAACUGGUGGAGCGUGUCGCGCUCGCAUUGGAGGGCCAGUUUGUGGUCACCCCCAGCCAGUUCAAGCGCUGCGUUACACACCUCAUUGAGAAGGAGUUUCUCCAGCGCGGGGAGCAAGGGGAGUAUGUGUUCGUAUCGUAGCUGGUAUGAGGUUCGAAAGAGUGUAUGAUUGGGCCUGCAUCAGAGCGCGGCUGUACCAGCGGAGGAGAAAAAAGCAUAUGUCUUCGGAUGUACACGCACUCCCCCGUUUCUGUGGACCUGCGUGUAGCACGAGACAUGCAUCCUUGUUUGCCAGCGAGGGGUGAUUGAUCUAGCCGAAGAACACACAGAUGCAUCCUUGGCGUGUCGCAACAUGGCAACUAC